AUGGGCCGUCCUGACUCGGAGGCGCCGACGUCGAGCAUCGCCGCCGCGGGGCUGGCUGCUCUCCGCGACCACGCCCACGGAAAAGGCGAUGCCGCGGCGCCGCCGGCGGCGCCGGACUCGCCCUUCGACACCAACGUGGUGAUCAUCCUCGCCGCGCUCUUCUUCGCGCUGCUCUUCGCCAUCGGGCUCAACUCGCUGGCGCGGUGCGCGCUCCGGUACGUGGGCCGCGGCUCCGCGGCCGGCGAGGGCGGGGCAACGGCGCGGGGUGCCGGCCGCGGAGGCAGCGGCAUCAAGAGGCGCGUGCUCAGGAGCCUCCCCGUGGAGGUGUACGGGUCCGGGGAGGUGAUCGACGACGUGUGCGCCAUCUGCCUCGGCGAGUUCGUGGACGGCGAGAAGGUGCGCGUGCUGCCGCGGUGCGCGCACGGGUUCCACGUCCGCUGCGUCGACGCCUGGCUCGUGUCCCACGGCUCCUGCCCCACCUGCCGGCAGCCGGUCAUCGAGGGCGCGCCCGCCAAGGGCGCCAGCGGCGGAGCUGCCCAAAGCCAGCGGCCCGCGAGCACGGAAAUGAUCGCCGUGGUCAUCGUGUGA
rnacentral:rRNA from 1 species